UUGAUCCCNGGCUCAGAUGAACGCUAGCUACAGGCUUAACACAUGCAAGUCGAGGGGCAGCAUGGUCUUAGCUUGCUAAGGCCGAUGGCGACCGGCGCACGGGUGAGUAACACGUAUCCAACCUGCCGUCUACUCUUGGACAGCCUUCUGAAAGGAAGAUUAAUACAAGAUGGCAUCAUGAGUCCGCAUGUUCACAUGAUUAAAGGUAUUCCGGUAGACGAUGGGGAUGCGUUCCAUUAGAUAGUAGGCGGGGUAACGGCCCACCUAGUCUUCGAUGGAUAGGGGUUCUGAGAGGAAGGUCCCCCACAUUGGAACUGAGACACGGUCCAAACUCCUACGGGAGGCAGCAGUGAGGAAUAUUGGUCAAUGGGCGAGAGCCUGAACCAGCCAAGUAGCGUGAAGGAUGACUGCCCUAUGGGUUGUAAACUUCUUUUAUAAAGGAAUAAAGUCGGGUAUGGAUACCCGUUUGCAUGUACUUUAUGAAUAAGGAUCGGCUAACUCCGUGCCAGCAGCCGCGGUAAUACGGAGGAUCCGAGCGUUAUCCGGAUUUAUUGGGUUUAAAGGGAGCGUAGAUGGAUGUUUAAGUCAGUUGUGAAAGUUUGCGGCUCAACCGUAAAAUUGCAGUUGAUACUGGAUAUCUUGAGUGCAGUUGAGGCAGGCGGAAUUCGUGGUGUAGCGGUGAAAUGCUUAGAUAUCACGAAGAACUCCGAUUGCGAAGGCAGCCUGCUAAGCUGCAACUGACAUUGAGGCUCGAAAAGUGUGG
rnacentral:rRNA from 1 species